rfam:Gossypium raimondii Chr04_contig_920, whole genome shotgun sequence.
CACGUCAGCGCGCUUUGAUGAUGUGGACACAAAUCGCUCUUUCAAGGACGCGCUUUAUUGCCACGUCACCAUAGCGCGCUGACGUGG